UUAUUGUAAUUUUUGGAUUGCUGGCACCUGCUUUCUGUCCAUAGUUUUAAAGCUGUGUAUUCUGGCUUGAGUUUCCUCUGGAGGCUGGAUUAGCUGUUUGGCAGGGGUGGCUCUAGCUAGGCAUGUGGCACAGGUACUGUUGUUGCUGCGUGGGGAUCUGUACUUUUGAUAGCUCUGCUUUGUCAGCAAUCCCUGGCAGUGCCCGUUCACUUCAGUGACAGGUUAGGAAGACAUCUUCAAUGAUUAAAUGAAAGAUCCUCUCUGUUCUACCUGCCAAACCCUGCCUGCAGCCCUGGUCACACUGCUUUGUUUCUUCAGUUCUUCUUGGCAUUUAAAAACAAACUAGGCUUUCACUAAAUAAUUUGCUUCUCUUCAGUGGAUACUAGAGUGCUGACUUCCCAGCUCUCCUUAGAUAAAUCUUUCCCUUUCUCAGUUUGGAAGUGCCCAGCUGUCAUCUCCCUCCACCCUUACAUAUCCUGUGUGGUUACAGAAGCUUGCCUUAGGCACAACAUGCCUUACAAUGCUAAGUAUUGCAGGGCCACCAGCAUUGCAAAACUGCCGAGAGGUGGGACAAUUGGCACGAUGCUGUGUGUCUCCUCAAGGACACCAAAAUGAACAUCAAUCCAGGAGUCUUCUGUCUCCCGUACAGGCUACCAGAAACAUCUGAGAUUGCUUACUAUGAAAAGCAGUUUGCUUUUCUCUUUUGAAACACUUAGGAAGAUCCACUUUUCAAUAGAAGCUAUCAGAGCUCUCAUUAACACUAUACAGGUAAAGAAAAUUAAGAUGAAAAGAAUUACUAUCAUUUUCACAAAAAUGUAGAAUGAAUGCAGUAAAGAAACCAUACUGACACAGCUAGCAAUAAUUAGCAGUGACAGAAACUAGACUCACACAAAAUUAUUAUUAUUAUUAUAAAUUUAUUGCAUUAAAUUGAAAUCUUUCACUUUGGAAGCUUACAGUUUUUAUAUAUGUUGAGGUUAGGCUUUGCUGGUUCAUUUUUUUUUUUUUUUUUUUUUUUAUUGAGCACAAAAUUUUUAUAUUUUUAACUGUCAAGAAAGGGGCAAAUCCGUUUGCUAAGUUGCAAAUGUGCAACUGAAGGAGACAUCAGACUCCUGCAAAGGAGACUGAGAAAAAAUAUGGUUCCAGUUCUCCAGCAAAUGAGUCUUUUGAAGAUAUUUAUAAGGACCACAGUAUUUUCAAGAAGAUUAAAGAGAAUGCUAAUUUUCCAAAAGUCAAGUAAAACAGAGUUAAAUUAGUAGUCUGUUCCUACUUUCAUCUGAAUCAAUUCUGAAUCUGAGUAUUAACAAGCAGAAACUGGGAUUGUGAUCACAUGGGAUAUCUGCAGCAGCUGAGCAAGGGAGCUCAAAUCUUCCGACUUCUAGUACUGUGUUUUAACCACAAAAACACUCUUUGCCUAGAAUUGCUCUUUCCUCUCCAGCACAGCAAAGAGCUUCUAUAGAUCCAUGACAGAAAUUCACACAACUGUAUUUCCCCUCUAGUUUUGUUUAUUUAGUUAGCUGGUUGAAAGAAACAAGUUGGUGAUAAAGAUGGUGAUAAAUGAGUGAAAAAGACUAGGCCAGAGGAAACUGUGUUCAAGCCAUCCUACAGAGAAGAUGUUAAAUUUUUGCAGCCAUCCAAAUUCACUACAUCUGAGAAGUCAUUAAUACACUGAACUUGGUGGACUGUGAAAAUUUAACUCAUUUGGUCCAAUGUGUUUACCAAAAUGUAUUUCAAAAGAGUAUGUAAGGAAGGAAGCUAUGUGAGUGAGAGAGAUAGAAAAGCAUUCUGGAGUGCGGCUAUAGGGGCUUCCUAGUUUGUCAUAUGUCCAUUUCUUUUCCUCUAUUUUGAGGAAGAAUUAAGAAUUACUUCCUCAUUUUUAAAGAAUAUCCUUUCUCUGGCUUGUGGUAACAGGUUCAAAGAUUUUAUUGGCAGAUACUUUAUACCAAUGUACCUCCACAAAAAGAAGGCUCCCUUAUUUUUCUAAAUUAACUUUAUUCUUCCCUAA